rnacentral:rRNA from 1 species
GACGGAGGAUGCAAGUGUUAUCCGGAAUUAUUGGGCGUAAAGAGCUCGUAGGCGGUGUGUCAAGUCAGGCGUGAAAGCCCCGGGCUCAACCUGGGAACCGCGCUUGAGACUGGCACGCUCGAGUUCGGGAGAGGAUGGUGGAAUUCCCAGUGUAGAGGUGAAAUUCGUAGAUAUUGGGAAGAACACCGAUGGCGAAGGCAGCUCUCUGGGACGGUACUGACGCUGAGACGCGAAAGCGUGGGGAGCGAACAGG